rnacentral:rRNA from 1 species
AUGGUGGGAAAUCAAAGGAGACUACCGGUGAUAAACCGGAGGAAGGUGGGGAUGACGUCAAGUCAUCAUGGCCCUUACGAGUAGGGCUACACACGUGCUACAAUGGCGUAUACAAAGAGAAGCGCCCUCGCGAGAGCAAGCGGAACUCAUAAAGUACGUAGUAGUCAGGAUUGGAGUCUGCAACUCGACUCCAUGAAGUCGGAAUCGCUAGUAAUCGUAUAUCAGAAUGUUACGGUGAAUACGUUCCCGGGCCUUGUACACACCGCCCGUCACACCAUGGGAGUGGGUUGCAAAAGAAGUAGGUAGCUUAACCUUCGGGAGGGCGCUUACCACUUUGUGAUUCAUGACUGGGGUGAAGUCGUAACAAGGUAACCAAGCCG